CUCAAGGAUAAAAACGCAAUAUAUAUUUUAUAAAUAUAUUAGAACUGGUAGGUAGCCCAGUCGUCUAAAUAUUAUUUUAUUUAGGUAAGUAACCUUCCCCUCCGGGUCGUCCAUUCCUUGAAAAAAUU
rnacentral:ncRNA from 1 species